rnacentral:rRNA from 1 species
UACGUAGGGGGCAAGCGUUGUCCGGAAUCAUUGGGCGUAAAGCGCGUGUAGGCGGCCAGGUAAGUCCGUUCUUGAAAGCCCGGGGCUCAACCCCCGGGAGGCGGAUGGAUACUGCUUGGCUCGAGUCCGGAAGAGGCGAGUGGAAUUCCCGGUGUAGCGGUGAAAAUGCGCAGAUAUCGGGAGGAACACCAAUGGCGAAGGCAGCUCGCUGGGCGGUACUGACGCUGAGAGCGAAAGCGUGGGGAGCAAACAGG